UUAAACAAUAGAAAGAGGAUUAGGUUUACAUGUUUGUGACUAUUGAAGUCCCUGAACGCAUAAACUCUCUUCCUCUCAUCCACGGCCGCGGCAGUGCUCCAAUUUCCUCCGGCGAACCUCCGUCUAUCCUCGCCGUGGAACAAAACCGGAACGACCUCCUCCCUCAUCUCGCUCUCUCGCUUACUCUCUGCUCUCUUCCGAUCUCGCGAACCUCCUCUCUUUCGACCUCGUCCCUCCUUCGCUCGAUCUCCUUCUCUCAUUUUUUCGUUUCUGAAUCGUGAUGCUAUUGUUAUUGUUGUCCGCAGGUGAGGAUGCGAUGCGAAGAUGACGAUUAAAAUUGUUGUAGAUGUUGAUUGAGGCGGUUCUGACUCAGCGAAGAGAAGCUUCAAUUGAUGUUGAUGAUUCGGUGCGAUUUUGUUGAAGCAUAAUGAAGAUGAUGAUGAAACGUCGGUGUUCUUGAAGCUCUACAAGUCGAUCUUGCUAUGGUAGAAGAAGAUGAUGCGUGAACGGAGGUUGUUAUGAGGUCGAAUCGGUGACGAUGAUGAUGGAGAUUGAAGUGGAAGUGUUGAUAAACCGAAGAAGAUGAAGGUGAAGAAACGGCAAGCUUGUUGAAGGUGAUGGUGAUUGAAGAGCGAGUAGAGAUGAUUCGGUUCAGAGAGAGCGUCGUCCAGAGAGGUUGAGAAAGAUGUGGUUGAAGGUUGAAGUUAUUGAGAUUCGAUGAUAAUGAGUGAAUUGAGGAGAAUUCGGUUGAGAGUUGAAGAGAGUAUGAGGAUUCAAGAGUUUGUUGAAGAAUCACUGGAGAGAAAGUGGUUUCGUUCAAAAGUUUGUUACAGUGAUGUUGGUUCAGUUUUCAUUGAACCGGUUCCCCUGACAUGGCUUGAAGCUGCAAAAUUUGACCAUAAGCUUCAGGGUGAUCGAUGAAUUCGGAUUUUGGCCACCGAUUUGAUUUUUCCUUUAACUUUGCCGGUUCGAUUUCGGAUUUUUCUUUGAUGCAGUUGCACGGUUGGUUUUGUAUCAAAAGCACCAUUGAAGGGUGAAUAAAGUGAAGAGGAAUUUUGAGAAUAGCAAUUUUCUUCUCUUUUUUUUUUUUUUGGAAUAAACUGGUGUAAUCUUUUUGUAAUUUUGUGGCCAUUUCUAUCUUGUAAGAAAUAUUGAAUGGAUAUUUGGAUG